rnacentral:rRNA from 1 species
GAGUUUGAUCCUGGCUCAGGACGAACGCUGGCGGCGUGCCUAAUACAUGCAAGUCGAGCGAAUAGAUGGGAGCUUGCUCCCUGAUAUUAGCGGCGGACGGGUGAGUAACACGUGGGUAACCUGCCUGUAAGAUUGGGAUAACUCCGGGAAACCGGGGCUAAUACCGGAUAAUACUUUUAAUCGCAUGAUUGAAAGUUGAAAGAUGGCCUCGGCUAUCACUUACAGAUGGACCCGCGGCGCAUUAGCUAGUUGGUGAGGUAACGGCUCACCAAGCCGACGAUCGAUAGCUGGUCUGAGAGGAUGAUCAGCCACACUGGGACUGAGAUACGGCCCAGACUCCUACGGGAGG